rnacentral:rRNA from 1 species
UACGGAAGGCAGCAGUGGGGAAUAUUGCACAAUGGGCGCAAGCCUGAUGCAGCCAUGCCGCGUGUAUGAAGAAGGCCUUCGGGUUGUAAAGUACUUUCAGUCGUGAGGAAGGUGUUAAGGUUAAUAACCUUAGCAAUUGACGUUAGCGACAGAAGAAGCACCGGCUAACUCCGUGCCAGCAGCCGCGGUAAUACGGAGGGUGCGAGCGUUAAUCGGAAUUACUGGGCGUAAAGGGCACGCAGGCGGUUAAUUAAGUUGGAUGUGAAUCCCCGGGCUUAACCUGGGAAUGGCAUUCAAGACUGGUUAGCUAGAGUCUUGUAGAGGGGGUAGAAUUCCAUGUGUAGCGGUGAAAUGCGUAGAGAUGUGGAGGAAUACCGGUGGCGAAGGCGGCCCCUGGACAAAGGACUGACGCUCAUGUGCGAAAGCGUGGGGAGCGAAACAGGGAUUAGAUACC